CUCCUGGAGGCCUUUUAAAGGGAAGCAGGGUGUGUGUAUGUGCUGCUUUUGGGUUUGCUCUCAUUUGCUGUUGCUUAGAAUUGUGCCACUCUGCUAUUAUUGCUAUACUUUCCAUCACAUUAUAGCAUUACAGAGUUUACAGGCAGCUAUAAAGAAGCAUGGGAGAAGCGUGGAGGAUCACAGAACUGACACCAGCCCCUACGGGAAGCCUCGAUCAGCGCAUAGUAUGGAAAACGGACGAGGAAUUCCAUAGUGUGGAAUGGACGAGGGGAUGGGGAGAAAGCCUCAGGGCGCCUCACAGGCGGGGACACACCGUCCCGAUGCUCAGCGCUACUACGCCCGGCCCUGGGCCGGGGUCGCCGCCGCCCGCCCUGAGCAGAGCGCCGAGUCGCCAGCAGGCGGCGUC